GUCCCGGUGCGCAAUGGAUAGCGCGUCGGACUUCUAAUCGAGGUUGUGGGUUCGAGUCCCAUCCGGAGCG
rnacentral:tRNA from 1 species